GUAGUUAGCCGGAGCUUCCUCCUUGGGUACCGUCAUUUUGUUCGUCCCCAAGGACAGAGGUUUACAAUCCGAAAACCUUCUUCCCUCACGCGGCGUUGCUGGGUCAGGGUUUCCCCCAUUGCCCAAUAUUCCCCACUGCUGCCUCCCGUAGGAGUCUGGACCGUGUCUCAGUUCCAGUGUGGCCGAUCACCCUCUCAGGUCGGCUACCCAUCGUUGACUUGGUGGGCCGUUACCCCGCCAACUAUCUAAUGGGACGCGAGCCCAUCCAUAAGCGAAUUUCUUUGACCUCUCUACCAUGCGAUAGUGUGGUCUUAUGCGGUAUUAGCAGCCGUUUCCAGCUGUUGUCCCCCUCUUAUGGCCAGGUUGCUCACGCGUUACUCACCCGUCCGCCACUAAGUCACAUCUGCUUCCAUCCGAAAACUUCCGCUGAUAUGCUUCGUUCGACUUGCAUGUGUUAAGCACGCCGCCACGCGUUCGUCCUGACGCCAGAAUACAAACUCUGA
rnacentral:rRNA from 1 species